UGCAGAGGGUGCGAGCGUUAAUCGGAAUUACUGGGCGUAAAGCGUGCGUAGACGGUUACAUAAGUCAGAUGUGAAAGCCCCGGGCUCAACCUGGGAAUUGCAUUUGAGACUGUGUAGCUAGGGUGCGGAAGAGGGAAGCGGAAUUUCCGGUGUAGCGGUGAAAUGCGUAGAUAUCGGAAGGAACACCAGUGGCGAAAGCGGCUUCCUGGUCCAGCACCGACGUUCAGGCACGAAAGCGUGGGGAGCAAACAGG
rnacentral:rRNA from 1 species